AAUAACAUAACAUAAAAUGAGUCACAAAAGUUGUUGUGUUGUUAGUUGUAAGAAUACAGGUAGAAAAAGUGCUUGUCAUUUUUAUAAAUUUCCAACAGCAAGUUGGAAAAUAAAUCAAAGGAAAAAAUGGAUAGCCGCUGAGGAGACAAAAUAUUGAUGGCUCAUUGUGGACUCCAAAGGCACAUGAUUAUAUUUGUAGUGAUCAUUUUAUUGGAGGCCAAAAGUCUGACAUAGAAUCGAGUCCCAGCUACAUUCCUACUAAAUUUCCUACAGUUUAUAAAUCUCAAAAAGUUAAUGAGUUAAUGGUCACGAAUAGAUUUAAGCGCUUAAUGGACCGCCGGCAGAACAAAAAUGCAUCUUCAGCACUCAAUCCUGAGCCUGAAGUUAAUGAAUUGCAAGAAAUGAUUACUGAAGAUCCGCCGACAGUAACUCAUUUGAGAGUUGAUCAAGAGUGUCAA
rnacentral:lncRNA from 1 species